rnacentral:lncRNA from 1 species
GAAAAGAUGAACUCCGAGUUGCCUGGACUUAAAGCCUUCCUGUGCAGGAAUUAUUCAUCUUUGAGUCCUCAUCUCAGAGCUCUGUGCCUGGAGCAUAGUGGGAUCUUCAGAACACCUGCUGGCUGAGUGGAUGAAAGCUGCAUGGAUAAACAGUAUCUCCGAAUACCCAGGCUGAUGAACUGUUCCCACUACGUUCCCUUGAGUCCGUGUUUGACAGAAGUAAACACAGCGAUGCCACUGCCAACAGGUAGGCAUGAAUAUACUCAUUGAAUUAAGCCUCUGCUAUCAAUAUGAGGGAGACUGACUCCAAACAGCAUCAGAAGCACUCAUCUUAUGGUGAACUACAAUCCUGGAAACGUGUUCAUCAUAAAUACUAAUGAUUCACUGCCUUU